rnacentral:rRNA from 1 species
AGAGUUUGAUCCUGGCUCAGAAUGAACGCUGGCGGCAUGCCUAACACAUGCAAGUCGAACGAGACCUUCGGGUCUAGUGGCGCACGGGUGCGUAACGCGUGGGAAUCUACCCUUGGGUUCGGAAUAACUCAGAGAAAUUUGAGCUAAUACCGGAUGAUGACGUAAGUCCAAAGAUUUAUCGCCCAAGGAUGAGCCCGCGUAGGAUUAGCUUGUUGGUGAGGUAAAAGCUCACCAAGGCGACGAUCCUUAGCUGGUCUGAGAGGAUGAUCAGCCACACUGGGACUGAGACACGGCCCAGACUCCUACGGGAGGCAGCAGUGGGGAAUAUUGGACAAUGGGCGAAAGCCUGAUCCAGCAAUGCCGCGUGAGUGAUGAAGGCCUUAGGGUUGUAAAGCUCUUUUACCCGGGAAGAUAAUGACUGUACCGGAGAAUAGCCCGAUCCCGUC